UACAGUUUGAUCCUGGCUCAACGGAACGCUGGCGGCAUGCCUUACACAUGCAAGUCGAACGGUAGAGGGGCAACCCUCGAGAGUGGCGAACGGGUGAGUAAUGCAUCGGAACGUGCCCAGUCGUGGCUGAUAACACUUCGAAAGAAGUGCUAAUACCGCAUACGACCUGAGGGUGAAAGCGGGGGACCGCAAGGCCUCGCGCGAUUGGAGCGGCCGAUGUCGCAUUAGGUAGUUGGUGGGGUAAAGGCCCACCAAGCCGACGAUCUGUAGCUGGUCUGAGAGGACGACCAGCCACACUGGGACUGAGACACGGCCCAGACUCCUACGGGAGGCAGCAGUGGGGAAUUAUUGGACAAUGGGCGCAAGCCUGAUCCAGCCAUGCCGCGUGCGGGAAGAAGGCCUUCGGGUUGUAAACCGCUUAUUGUCAGGGAAGAAACGCUCCGGGCUAAUACCACUGGGGUAAUGACGGUACCUGAAGAAUAAGCACUCGGCUGCCUACGUGCCAGCAGCCGCGGUAAUACGUAGGGUGCAAGCGUUAAUCGGAAUUACUGACCGUAAAGCGUGCGCAGGCGGUUCUAUAAGACAGAGGUGAAAUCUUACGACUCAACCUGGGAACUGCCUUUGUGACUGUAGGGCUAGAGUGCGGCAGAGGCCGGGAUGGACAUUCCGCGUGUAGCAGUGAAAUGCGGCGAUAUGCGGCUCGUCACCGAUGGCGAACGGCAAUCCUCUGGGCCUGCACUGACGCUCAUGCACGAGCGCGUGGCUGGAGCAUGCAGGAUUAGAUACCCUGGUAGUCCACGCGAUAAACGAUGUCAACUGGUUGUUAGGAUCUUCUCAGUAACGAAAUUAACGCGUGAAGUUGACCGCCUGGCGAGUACGGCCGCAACACAGAAACUCAUAGGAAUUGACGGACACCCGCACAAGCGGUGUACGAUGUGGUUUAAUUCGAUGCAACGCGACGACCGUACCUACCCUAGACAUGGCAGGUACCUAUCAGAGAUCUGAGCAUGCUACGACGGCAGAUCCUGCUAUCAGGUGCUGCAUGGACGUCGUCAGCUCGUGUCGUGAGAUGACAGUUAAGUCCCGCAACGAGCGCAACCCUUGUCAUUAGUUGCUACGAAAGGGCACUCUAAUGAGACUGCCGGUGACAAACCGGAGCAAGGUGGGGAUGACGUCAGGUCCUCAUGGCCCUUAUGGGUCUUGUACACACGUCAUACAAUGGCCGGUACAGAGGGCUGCCAACCCGCGAGCAGGAGCCAAUCCCAGAAAACCGGUCGUAGUCCGGAUCGCAGUCUGCAACUCGACUGCGUGAAGUCGGAAUCGCUAGUAAUCGCGGAUCAGCUUGCCGCGGUGAAUACGUUCCCGGGUCUUGUACACACCGCCCGUCACACCAUGGGAGCGGGUUCUGCCAGAAGUCGUUAGCCUAACCGCAAGGAGCGGCGAUGCAGGGUUCGUGACUGACUUGAAGUCGUAACAAGGUAACCAC
rnacentral:rRNA from 1 species